UAACAAUGUUUAUCAGUUUAGUGUAUUUUUAUUGAUUAUUCAUUUUACUAGGAUUGUUGAAAUUAUCAAUUUUAGUUACAAUAAUGGGAAACAUACUGUAUGGUAUAAAAUCUUGUUGUUGUUGUAGACAAAAUAUGAAACUUGCAGCACUUUUAGUUAUUGUUUUGACAAUGCUUUCAUGUAUAGUGAUAAUAAACGAGAUUACAAACCCAUCAUGCUCAAACUUAUACGCUCCACAUACAAAUCUCACAGAGACCUUGAAAAUAAUGAAAGCCUCUCUUUUCAUACUCGUGUUGGGUCUAAUGAUAAGCUGCUUUAUAUUUAUGUUGAAUAUUUUCUUUUUUAAACAUCCGCUUUCAGUCAUCCUGUUUCAAUUGUUCUUGGUAACAUCACUUAUAUCCUUGGUUCCCUACACAAUACUUGUAGUGGUGCAAUCGGAGAGAAUUAUGUGCACAAAUAUCGCCACAACAACUAAUCUAUUUAUUAUCUGUAUAGGUUGGUUUUACUUUGAAAUAGUGAUAAAUGCAUACAGAAAGGAAAUUUAUAAAUGAAAUGAUAUCAAAAAUUUAAAACGUUUUCUGUGGUAUUUUUUUCUUCUGUUUAAACGUCUGUUUUUUACGUUGAUAUCUGUCAUUGUAUGUUUACGAUAAGUUAAAAGUUAAAAUCGAAAUGGCUGAUUUUUCGUACAUUUCCUCCGUGAAAUACUGCUGUUUUUGUGUUGAUUUGAAAAUAGGAUGUAUAUUAAUAGCUAUAUAUGGAAUCCUUGACUGCACAGACAUCGGAAUGGUUACAAUGUAUCCAAUAUGCCCUGACAGUGCCAACAGUAUCGUAAUUCUUCUCAAAAGUAUAAUCACUAUUGUGUGUUUUAUCUCCAAUAUUGCUAUGUUGGCAACAAGCAUAAUAUUUCUGUAUGGUGUUGUACGGGGUAUAAAAGAAACUGCAACGUGGUUUAUGUUCGCGAUAUUAUUUUCUCUGACAGUCCGUGUUGCAUAUAUUAUAACUGCCCUUAUCGUGGGCUUAUUAUUUUCUUGCUGCAGUUUUUUCGACGUACGUAUAGUGCAUCAGGCUAUCAGUUUCAUAAUAUGGUUUCAUUUUCUAACAGUCGUGAAGAGUUACAGACAUAUCAUGUAAAUGCCAACAAUUAUUCCUGAAGUGUAUUUUUUAAACUUUAACUUAUGAAGAAGAUAUGUGUGUGCUUUAUAAUUAUAUCUUAAUCCUAUCCAAAAAUAAAUGUUUAAAUUUG